rnacentral:rRNA from 1 species
AUUGAACGCUGGCGGCAGGCCUAACACAUGCAAGUCGAGCGGAGCGGCGGACGGGGGAGUAAUGCCUAGGAAUCUGCCUGGUCGUGAGGGAGAGCGUCCGGAAACGGGCGCUAAUACCACAUACUCUAACAUUAGGCUAGGUCGGAUUAGCUUGUUGGUGGGGUAAAGGCAUACCAAGGCCACGAUCCGUAACUGGUCUGAGAGGAUGACCAGUCACACUGGAACUGAGACACGGUCCAGACUCCUACGGGAGGCAGCAGUGGGGAAUAUUGGACAAUGGGCGAAAGCCUGAUCCAGCCAUGCCGCGUGUGUGAAGAAGGCCUUCGGAUUGUAAAGCACUUUAAGUUGGGAGGCGUUACCAACAGAAUAAGCACCGGCUAACUUCGUGCCAGCAGCCGCGGUAAUUC